rnacentral:rRNA from 1 species
AGUCGAGCGAUGAGGCUCCCUUCGGGGAGUCAUCAGCGGCAGACGGGUGAGUAACACGUAGAUAACCUGCCCUCAAGACGGGGACAAGGGGAGGAAACAGCGGCUAAUACCCGAUAUGCUCACAGGAUCGGGAGAUCGAGUGAGGAAAGGCUUUGGUGCUUGAGGAGGGAUCUGCGGCCCAUCAGCUAGUUGGUGAGGUAACGGCUCACCAAGGCGAAGACGGGUAGGGGGUGUGAGAGCAUGGCCCCCCACAAUGGGACUGAGACACGGCCCAUACUCGGAGGGGAGGCAGCAGCGGGGAAUAUUGCGCAAUGGACGGAAGUCAGACGCAGCGACGCCGCGUGGGUGAGGAAGGCCUUCGGGUUGUAAAGCCCUUUUCAGGGGAGCGAGAAAGGACGGUACCCUUGGAAUAAGCGUCGGCUAACUACGUGCCAGCAGCCGCGGUAAGACGUAGGACGCGAGCGUUAUCCGGAUUUACUGGGCGUAAAGCGCCUGUAGGCGGCCAAGUAAGUCGGAUGUGAAAGCCCCGUGCUCAACGCGGGGAAGCCAUUCGAUACUGCGUGACUAGAGAACGGCAGAGGGAAACGGAAUUUCUGGUGUAGCGGUAAAAUUGCGCAGAGAUCAGGAAGAACACCGAUGGCGAAGGCAGUUUCGUAGGCCGCAUCUGACGCUGAGAGGCGAAAGCUAGGGGAGCAAACAGGAUUAGAGACCCUGGUAGUCCUAGCUGUAAACGAUGGAUGCUAGGUGUGGGCCGGAAAGGUCCGUGCCGUAGUUAACGCGAUAAGCAUCCCCCCUGGGGAGUACGGCCGCAAGGCUUAAACUCGAACGAAUUGACGGGGACCCGCACAAGCAGCGGAGCGUGUGGUUUAGUUCGAUGCUACACGCAGAACCUUACCUGGGCUUGACAUGUAGGUGGUAGUGAACUGAAAGCGGAGCGACCCUUCGGGGAGCCUACACAGGUGCUGCAUGGCUCUCGUCAGCUCGUGCCAUGAGAUGUCGGGUUAAGUCCCGUAACGAGCGCAACCCUUGUCCUUAGUUACAAGUGUCUAAGGAGACUCCCGGUGACAAACCGGAGGAAGGUGGGGAUGACGUCAAGUCAGCAUGGCCCUUAUGUCCAGGGCGACACACACGCUACAAUGGUCGUUACGAUGGGCAGCGCAGC